rnacentral:rRNA from 1 species
AACGAGCGCAACCCUUGUCUUUAGUUGCCAUCAUUAAGUUGGGCACUCUAGAGAGACUGCCAGGGAUAACCUGGAGGAAGGUGGGGAUGACGUCAAAUCAUCAUGCCCCUUAUGCUUAGGGCUACACGCGUGCUACAAUGGGUAGUACAGAGGGUUGCCAAGCCGUAAGGUGGAGCUAAUCCCUGACGGCUACUCUUAGUUCGGAGGGGAGGCUGAAUCUCGCCGUCAUGAAGCUGGAGUUGCUAGUAGGCGCAGAGCAGAAUGCUGCGGUGAAUGCGUUCCCGGGUCUUGUACACAC